UUCGGUUCUUCCUUGACAAUGAAUUUUCAUGAACUGCUUGGACUAUUAAGUUCACCAACUCCAGGAGGACCACCUCUUGAUGAAGGAACUUGAGGAGCUCAUGGUGGGGGACAGAACUGCUGACGCCCUCAUGAAUGAACAGAUAGAUUCCCGAGGAAAACAAGAACCUGCAAAGAAUCUCUAG
rnacentral:lncRNA from 1 species